UUAACUUAAAUUUGUAUGGAGUUGAAACGUUUGCCUAUGUUUUCCGCCAGGGGCGCUGUUCCAACUGCAUACAAAUUGGAGUUA
rnacentral:pre_miRNA from 1 species